rnacentral:rRNA from 1 species
CAAUAGCGUAUAUUAAAGUUGUUGCAGUUAAAAAGCUCGUAGUUGGAUUUCUGAAUUGAAUAUCCGGUCCGCUCGUCUCUGAUGAGUGCGUACUUAUGGAUAUUGGAUUCAUUUUUUGUGAGGACAUUUAUCUGUCAUUAAGUUGAUGGAUUUAUAGACUUGCAUCGUUUACUGUGAAAAAAUUAGAGUGUUUAAAGCAGGCGUUCGCCCAUUUGAAUACAUUAGCAUGGAAUAAUAAGAUAUGACUUUGGUGGUCUAUUUUGUUGGUUUGCACACCAGAGUAAUGAUUAAUAGGGACAGUUGGGGGUAUUCAUAUUUCAACGUCAGAGGUGAAAUUCUUGGAUUUACGGAAGACGAACAUCUGCGAAAGCAUUUGCCAAGGAUGUUUUCAUUGA